rnacentral:rRNA from 1 species
GCUUGUUUGCCGGGAUGGUUCAUUCAAAUUUAUUUGGCCUAUAUCAAACUUUCGGAUAUGUUGAGGGUCUAUGAGCCCCAUACACAAUUGGUUUCAAGAGGGGUAACCGGGGAAUUAAGGGUUCUAUUCCCGGAGAGGGAGCCUGAGAAACGGUGACAAUUCCCAAGGGAAGGCAGCAGGGCGGCGCAAAUUAACCCAAUCCUCGGAUUCAGGGAGGUAGUUGACAAUUAAAUACUGAUACUAGGGGCCUCUUUUUGGGUCUUGUAAUUUGGGAAUGAGUACAAUUUAAAUCCCCUUAACGAGGAACAAUUUGGAGGGCAAAGUCCUUGGUGCCAGCAGCCCGCGGUUAAUUCCAGCUCCAAUAGCGUAUAUUAAAGUUGUUGCAGUUAAAAAGCUCGUAAGUUGAACCUUG